rnacentral:piRNA from 1 species
CGAGGGUGUGUGACUGGGUACAAUCUG